UCUCAGUUCGGAUUGCAGGCUGCAACNCGCCUGUAUGAAGUCGGAAUUGCUAGUAAUCGCGGAUCAGCAUGCCGCGGUGAAUACGUUCCCGGGCCUUGUACACACCGCCCGUCACACCAUGAGAGUCGGGAACACCCGAAGUCCGUAGUCUAACCGCAAGGAGGGCGCGGCCGAAGGUGGGCUUGAUAAUUGGGGUGAAGUCGUAACAAGGUAGC
rnacentral:rRNA from 1 species